CCUCUCUAUCUAAGACAUUCUUUGCCGUGCACAUCAUAUUCAAGGUUGCCAAACCCUAACCUCAUUUCCCAUUUCUUCUCAUAUGUGUCGCCUCCCCCCAUCUUCCUCUUUCUCUCCACAAUUUCUCGUUCACGUCUUGGCCGCAAUAAGAGGUUGGUUGUAUGGCUUUUGGAGACUUGGCUGUGGUAGGGUGGGGAUGCUUGGCCGCAGUUCUGGAGGUAGAGAUGGAGGUGGGAACUUGGCUGUGGCGACGGAGGUUAUUUUAACCCCGUCCUUGGAAAUGUGGGAGGUAAUUUCAAAUGAUUUUGGGUGUUUACAUUGUGUUAAGUGGUUUUGAAGUAAUUUCAAUGUCAUUUCUACUUUGCUUUUUCAUGUUUGCUUGCUCACAAUCUCAAUAACUUUCGUUUUGCAAUAUUUUCACCAAAAAUGCUCCUCUUGGCAGAUGAACCGAACCAUAUCCUGUGGUGAAAGCUCCAAGGAGGGUUACUUUGAUGCAUUCUACAAUUUAAGUAUUAUUUUUAAAUGCUUUCAACAUUCUAAUUUCUUCAUCACUAAACUUAUGAUUUUUAAUUUUGAGACAAAAUUUUACAGCAUUAAAAUCAAAUAAUGGAUGAGGAUCAACAAUCCUGUACUAGAAAAGGACUUUUCUCCAUACACUUCCAUUAUCCACCAUUUUUUUUGGCUAAAACACAUGCUUUUAGUUUUACUGAAACCCAUAGCCCACCUUCGACUCUUUCCGAUCAAAUCUCCCAUGUCAUUGGAUUAUUAGUGAUGAAGGAAACAUUUUUACCUUAAGUUUUGGUUGUGGAAGUUUCAGUUUAGCUCCAAGAGUAGAAACAAUUGUGUUUUUCCCAAAAACAAGGUUCACUAUUAUGCUAUUUUACUCUUAAUGCAGUGUUAUUUUCUUCACUUUAUUAAACGACCUAUUCAAGAGAUGUAGCUCUAAUUAGAUUUCCUUCUCAGUGGUUGUAACUAGGGAAGAAGGUGAACUUAUGGUUGGAAUUAAGGAUGAAGGGGAAAGCCUCAGGAUAGGAUGCAAGGGAUAAGGAGUAUACAGCAUUUUCUACUUUCUCAUAUCUAAGAACUCUUAGGUUUAUUGAAAAAUCUAGCAAGACAUUCUCGGUGAACUGGUCAAGAAACGGUUAGAAGGGCUAUGUGUUAUCUAUUACUUAAUCCACCUUAACAAGCACCAUGAUGAUUUUAUUGCUACAAGCUACAUAACUCAAAAGUAGGCUUGCUAAUGAUCAACCCAGUACUGUAUUUUCUUUGAAUCACUAGUCAUUUUUUUAUUUACUCUUUUACUGGAUGCCUGAAUCGAAAAUUACCUAGUCUGGAUUUGGAUGAACUAUAAAUUUUGUUGUAUUUGUGUUCUGGUAAAAUAUUCUGGAUUCAAUAUUACAUUGAUUGACACA